AUUGCAGGAAGUGACCAGAUUUCCUUCCUUUUUAAGGCCACAUAAUAUCUGCUCGUAUUUAUGUGCCACAUUUUAAAGAUCCAUUCAUCCAUUGUUGGACACGUGUGUUGUUUCCACCAUUCGGCUAUUACGAAUACUGCUGCUAUGAACGUGGGUCUACACGAACACUUAGGAUUUUGAUAUUAAUGAUGAUCUCUUCAAAUUUGAUAGCAGAACACCUGCUAAAUAGUAGGUAACAACAUUUCAAUUUUGUAAAGAGAACCCAUUUACUCCUUCAGCAGACACUCACUAUCUCCAAGUGCCAGGUGCUGGUGUCCAAGGCAAACCCCAGAGCUGUCAGAGAACUUCAGUCACUGAGGAGGCAAAUAGGAAACAGGCAAACACCAGUUGGUGUUUAUCAUUGUUCACGGCAGCCAGUGCUGAGAAGGAAACAGCAGGACAUGCCGAGAGAGCACUGGCUGGGUGACCUGGCUCGGACGGGGUGGUCAGGGAGGGGCUUUCUCACAAGGGGACCUUUGUGCUGAGGCCUGAGGAUGAGAAGAAACCAGGGCAGUGCAGAGUGGGAGGUUUUGCAGAAGAAUCAAAUCCUGAGUGAACAGAUACUGUGGCCUGUGAAACCAAAGAGAGAUGCUGAACGUUUCAAGUCAUUUGGUGUCCGUGGACCAAACCCUGUGGAGGAACAGCCUUGUGGAGUGGAGGUGACCCCGGCUCACUCAGCCAGGCUGGCGUUGGCUUCCACUGCGCUUCAAACCCUGUGUUUACUCUGAAGUCCCACAUUUGCUUUGCAACAGCCUGAUCAUCAAAGCAGACAAAAACAGUAGGAGCAUGGCGGGGAGGAUGCGAUUGCUUCUUUCCUUGCUUUUGGUAACAAACAUAAAUAGAAGCAAGACAGGACUUCAGUUUGAUUCUUAAAGAAGGUUUUAGGAUGUUUUGUUCUUGCACGACAAAGGCGCAGAGACGAAAAGUCUCCUAUUUUCAAAGCAAAAUUUAUCUAUCUAAAAAAAAGAAACAGAUGAAAAUCAAUCAUUUUAAAAGUUGCUGAAACUUUAGUAAAUUACCGAUGGUUUUAGAAAUGAGCAGAUCACUGUUCCUGUGUGGUUGUAUUUCAUGUUCAAACAUUUGCAAAAGAAUAACACUACAAAACCCAAUGUGGUUGACUUUUAAAACAAGGCCAUUUAGGAGGCCUGAAAAAAAUAAGCAAACUACUUCAUUGAGACUCCAGGAUUGGCUACUGAACAUGAUGAAUAGUUUCCGAGGUAGUCAACUUGUUUGACUGGACGUGAUUGCAUUUCUUUCUUUUAAAGUUGUUUCACGCCUGUUCAGGCAAGGCCUUCAUUUCUUAGAAACAGAGCAUGCUAUUGUCGUAUGUUGAUCAAAUGUUUAAAUUUUUCGGAGCUCCUGUAUCUUGUUGCCUCUCUAGUUGAGCUGAUCUGUCUUCUUGGCUAUUUACUAAACCACAAUGCAUUACUGCUGUUCCUUCAGACCCUUUAAUGAAAGCCCCAGAGUUUGGUACUUACCAACUUGUAACCUUGCAGAAGUCACUUAUGGCUGCUGAGUCUUAAACUCCUCAUCUGGGAGAGGACAGUGCAUCCAUUCACUCAUUCCUUUAAAAAGUAUGAAUGUCUCCUAGAUGUGGGGCAUUGAGUGCACAAAAAUGAAGACAAAUCAUACCUAGUCCUUGCUGUCAUGGGUCUUGCUGUAAUGGAGAGCCACCCACAUAAAUGCCAUAAAUGUCCUGAAGUGUGAUUACUGUCUCAUAUACCAGUGAGGGUUGUAUAUGAGGGUGUGAUCAGGUCUACUUGGCGGUGAGAGGAGUGGGAAACAUCAGCAAAGGUAAGAGAGGAGAGUAAGACACGUUUGAGAAAGCACUUGGCUUGUAACAAUAGCCAACAAUCAGCAUUUCCUAUGGGCUGGGUACUGGGCUGCUGAGCACUUGAGGCACUUCAUGCCAUCUCUUCAGUUCACCUCUUUGGUAGUUACUCUUAUUAUCUCCAAAUUAGUAAGGAAAUUGAGGCCUUUGGAGAUGAAACACCUUGCUCAAGGAUACACUCAGAAUGACAAUCUCAAGGUUCUACCUCUGGCAGCAGAACCCCAGAACCCUUGUGUUUAACCACUUAACCAUGCAGCCAGCCCUUUUCCUCACUUUGGUUGCAGAAGCGAGGAAAGUGGUGCCCACAGUUGUGGAUGCUGUUGGGGUCAGGGCGAAGGCUCUGUGGGAGAACAGGACAGGUUGUGGGGGGCUGGGCGCAGAAAGCUGAACAAAGCAGCUUUACCCAUAAGGGAUUACUCAAAACUAAAACAAAAACUAAAGAAAGACAUAAGUUCAGUGCCUCAUUUCGAUCUUUCUUUUCCAGAUGAUAUUUCUUUUCUCACUUAGCUCAAACUGACUGAAAAAGACAUUGAUGAUGCUCACCACCCUUAAAACACAAGAUCAAAGGACCAGUAGGUCCCAUAAUAGAUGCAAAUGGACUCUCAUUCUUGAGGGAUUUAAAAUAAACAAACAGGCAACCAACUUUCAACUGUUGUUUAAAUUCAGUCCAAGAGAUUUUCUAAUCUAAAGAACUCCACUGUUUCUUAUUUCAGGGUCAGAGCAAGUUCCCACUUAGUACACAGAAAGGUUUUCGAUGAGGGAAUUUUAAAAAGACAUAUGCAAAUAUACCAGGGAGAUUAAUAGGAUGGCAUAGCUAUGAGGCACACAAAAUGAAAUACUAUGAUGCAUAAUAUAUUUUAGUUUGAUUGUUUAAUAUUAUAUAAAUGCUCUAAUUAAUAUGAAAACAUCAAUUAAUGGGAAGCAGCCUUAUUGGGCUAAUAAAUGGAAUAGAGUCUUUUUCAAGGACAUUUUUUUCUGAUUCCAAAUGUAAUAUAGUUGAUUGUGGAAGACUGGAAAUGGAUGAUAAAUACACAAAUAAAUGGAAGUCACCCCUUUGACAUUAGACUCUAAGCUUUCCUUAUAGCUCUGUGAGCCUUCUGGAGGUAUGCCCUGCCACUCUUGUGAGUCCCAUAGCACAUUCUCACUUCUCUCUUCUCUUCACGUACACACACGCGUGCACACACACACUGUCUGACUCUCGGUCCAGCCACCUCAUGGCCUGUUCUUCCACCCAGCUCUCACCCCGUCCCCCACACCAGCAACAACUGUGGGUGCCACUGCACUGUGGAGAAAGCAGACAUGCACUGAAUGCUUCUGUUACCAAAGCAAAGAAAGCGGAAGGCAACUGGGUUUAGUGGCUAACCAUCAGGAUCUGGGGUUCUCCUGCCUAGGCUAGAAUUUUGCCUGGCAUAUAGUGAAUGAUCAAUACAUGCUUGCUAUUGAUAUAACUAGAGUUAGCAUAGACAUUAUUGUUUCACACAGUUGGGCUCAGAAAUUGUAUAGUUUUGUAUCCAGUGGAACUGAUAAUAUUAAAGAAGCAUUAAAGUAAAAUAAUAAGGCAAGUUGUAUUAAUCUGGGUUCUUUGCAUUAUAAGAGCCAGCAAUCCAACUCAAACUACCUUAAGCACCAAGGAUUUGUUGACUCAUUGGUAUUUAAAGUCCAGGGAACGUUCUCUUUUUUGCACAUCUGAAUUCAAGUGUUCAAACAAUAUUGUCAUGUUCACUCUCUCUUCCUCUCAUUUCUCAGCUCAGCUUGUUUCUGUGUCUUUUGUUUGCAUGUUGGAUUUCUUCUCUCUCACUUUGCACAGCCUCUCUCUACAUUGCUGAAAAGUCUUGUGUUGACAUGAUCGUUCAUGAUCCAAAAAGAGAAAAAAUGUCUUCCCUUCUGAAUCUCACAGGUGAGUAGCACAGAGUACUCUAACCCAGCUGGAGUCAAAUGUCCAUUCAGAACCAAUCUCUGUGUUUCUGGUGUUGUUCCUCUGUUGGCCUGGAUCUUUUAGCUUCCUGCACUGUGAGAUGGGGCUGCUCAGGAUCUUGGAAGGAGUGCAGCGACCUCCCCACCAUACAGGAACUUUCCAAAGGAACCAAAAAAGGGGAGUUAGUAACUGCUGGGUAAACAAAAAGCUUCAGCAAUCAGAGUUAUCUUUCUUAGUUUUUAAAAAGAUAUCAAAUCAACUCUGAAUUAAGCCUCAGAAUUGCUUCUCUGCCUUUUGGCUGAGAUCAAACAGUUUUUUUUUUGAGAUCGAGUUUCUUUCUCGUUGCCAAGGCUGGAGUGCAAUGGCAUGAUCUCAGCUCACUGCAACCUCUUCUUCCUGGGUUGAAGCCAUUCGCCUGCCUCAGCUCCCCCAAGUAGCGGGGAUUACAGACAUGCAACACCACUUCUGGCUAAUUUUGUUUAUUUAGGAGAGAUGGGAUUUCUCCAUGUUGGUCAGGCUGGUCUAUGAACUCCUGACCUCAGGUAAUCCACCCGCCUCGGCUUCCCAAAGUGUUGGGAUUAUAGGUAUGAGCCACUGGUGCCUGGCCUCGAGCAUUUUUUUAAGCCUCAGAAAAAAAGAUACCAAUACAGUGGGGAAAAACAGCAUAAUUUUUUGUGUACAGUACAUUUUUAACUGGAAUAUGUCUGAUUUCUUAUGAAGUACUGUAUAGAUAUUUGAUAGCACACUGAGUAUUUUGAACUGAAUUGAUUAACUGAUGAGAUACAUUAUAUCUUUGAAUAUACAUUUUUUUUUUUUUUUUUUCUGAGACGGAGUUUUAGUUCUUGUUACCCAGCCUGGAGUGCAGUGGCGCGAUCUUGGCUCACCGCAAUUUCCACCUCCCGGGUUCAGGCAAUUCUCCUGCCUCAGCCUCCAGAGUAGCUGGGAUUACAAGCAUACGCCACCAUGCCCAGCUAGUUUUUUUAGUAGAGACGGGGUUUCACCAUAUUGACCAGGAUGGUCUCGAUCUCUUGACCUCGUGAUCCACCCGCCUCGGCCUCCCAGAGUGCUGGGAUUACAGGCUUGAGCCACCGCGCCUGGCCUGAAUAUGCAUAUUUUUCUUUCAUCACACAUUCCAACUGGAUAUUCAUUUUCAAACAGCACCCCUGCAAAGUCUAGACAUGUAUUUCCUCUCCUCAUUCUUUUUUCUAGGUACACAGUCUGUCUAUAAACCAUGUAAGACAAAUAAUGCUAGCAUUCUAUUUUACAGGAUUAAUUCCCGCUAUUGGAGAAACAUUCCAAUUAGGAGUUGAGAUGAGAGACACCUGUUCUUCAGGCACCUGCCAGCAGGGCCUGAAGGCAAUACUUGGAUGGAUUUUAAAAACACAGAGAUAAUGUCAAAAACAACGAUAGUGGGUGAAAACGGUUACUUUGAAAACUCAACCAGCUGCCGUGGUGUCUUCAGUUGACUGAUAUCACUGUUUUUUAAACAUGAUUUUUGAUGUCAGCAUAGCCAAAUAUCUGAUUUUUGACAUCUUUCUGUAUGUGAACAUGUAAAUCUAAUAUU
ensembl:lncRNA